UUUUUAAAAUUUACUUAUUUUUUCAUAUUCAUGGUCUCAUUGUUAGAGAUUACAUGUCCUUAAAAAUUAAGUCAAAAAAUCCAUCUUAAAAAUAGAUUUAUUAAUAGGCCUGUAUUUCUACAUAUGCGGGCUUGGCCGCAUAGAUUCCGGGUCCUUUAUACUAUUACAAAUAUAAAGUUCAUGUCUUACAUAAACUUGAUAAAUUUGUGCUCAUACCCUCACAAAUAUGUUUUUUACAAAGAUACCUCCCAAAUUUUGUAUUUUAUUUCCGUAUCUUAUUUUUCGACCCCAAAUAAUUGGGAUAAAGCUCAAAUGAUGAUGAUGAUCUAUUUAUUUCUUUUUCAUUUUUUAACAAUAUGCCCCUACUUCAACCAUGAAGGUUCAAAUUAUGAACUAGUAAAAAAACUUUUGAUUGUGGUUCUUUAAGAUCAUAAGUCAAGUUGAAUGUCUUAACUUUUGAUCUUCAAGAUUUUUUGGAAAAAUAUUUUUGAUCUUCAAGAUCUGAUAUCAAGACACAAAAGUCUUAACUUCAGACUUUGAACAUCCGAAGUGGUAACGAAUUUUUAACUUCCGAUCUUCAAAGUCGAAAGUCAACAUUCUAACUUCACUUCGUAUUUCAAAGGUCCAAAAUCAAAGUAAAAAGAUUCAUGUCUUCGAUUUGAAGUUGUCAUUUCAACCCUCAAGAUCCAAAGCGAGGAGGGAAAAAAAAAGAGAAAAAAUAGAGAAAAACAAUUAUGGACUUAAAAUACAUAAUUUUAGAAGGAAAAUAGUACGAAGGUAAGUUUCUCUUCUUCUUUUUUUGACAAAUAAGUAUGAGGGUAAGUUUCUCUAUCAACUUUUUCCUUUAAAGUUUCCCCCCAACAUCCAUUCAUUAUUCCCCCAAAAGUCAUACAUUAUGUCCUCUUUAUCUCUUUUCAUACUCUCUCUCUUUCUUUUUCUCUCUCUCUCCACAGGUUUUAAAUAUCUAAGGAUGGCUUAGCACCGUUGCUCCCACC
rnacentral:lncRNA from 1 species